GAAAUGCGAUAAGUAGUGUGAAUUGCAGAAUUCAGUGAAUCAUCGAAUCUUUGAACGCACAUUGCGCCCCUUGGUAUUCCAUGGGGCAUGCCUGUUCGAGCGUCAUUUGUACCCUCAAGCUCUGCUUGGUGUUGGGUGUUUGUCCCGUCCCCGCGCGUGGACUCGCCCCAAAGUGAUUGGCAGCCGGCGUACUGGUCCCGGAGCGCAGCACAUGUCGCGCAAACGAGUGCCUUGGUACGACGGCGUCCAUAAGCCCCUCUCUCACGCUCUUGACCUCGGAUCAGGUAGGGAUACCCGCUGAACUUAAGC
rnacentral:misc_RNA from 1 species